rnacentral:rRNA from 1 species
GACGAACGCUGGCGGCGUGCUUAACACAUGCAAGUCGAACGGAAAGGCCUAGCUUGCUGGGUACUCGAGUGGCGAACGGGUGAGUAACACGUGGGUGAUCUGCCCCUGACUUUGGGAUAAGCCUGGGAAACUGGGUCUAAUACCGGAUAUUCAUUUUUCCUCGCAUGGGGAUUUGUGGAAAGCUUUUGCGGUUGGGGAUGGGCCCGCGGCGUAUCAGCUUGUUGGUGGGGUAAUGGCCUACCAAGGCGACGACGGGUAGCCGACCUGAGAGGGUGAUCGGCCACACUGGGACUGAGACACGGCCCAGACUCCUACGGGAGGCAACAGUGGGGAAUAGUGCACAAUGGGCGCAAGCCUGAUGCAGCGACGCCGCGUGAGGGAUGACGGCCUUCGGGUUGUAAACCUCUUUCAGCUCCGACGAAGCGCAAGUGACGGUAGGAGCAGAAGAAGCACCGGCCAACUACGU